UACGUAGGGGGCAAGCGUUGUCCGGAUUCAUUGGGCGUAAAGAGCGUGUAGGCGGCCAGGUAGGUCGGUUGUGAAAACUGGAGGCUCAACCUUCAGAGGUCGACCGAAACCAUCUGGCUAGAGUCCGGGAGAGGUGAGUGGAACUGCGAGUGUAGAGGUGAAAUUCGUAGAUAUUCGCAAGAACACCAGUGGCGAAGGCGGCUCACUGGCCCGAUACUGACGCUGAGGCACGAAAGCGUGGGGAGCAAACAGG
rnacentral:rRNA from 1 species